CAGAGGAAUAGGCUGGCUACACGGCCCUUUCCCCAUGAGGGAGGAGGGAGCCGAGCCUCUCUAGGUCACCACCCCAACUCUACUUGCUGCUGUGGCAGUGCCCAUCCCCCAUCAGGGGCCUUGCAGCAUCUGGAGAGACAAUAGAACUCAGAGCGCCCUUUCUGAUUCAAAAGACCAUGAAGACUUCAGCACACAGAGUGGGGGUCUGCUUUGGGGAAAUGAAGGCAGCAGACUUCCCUGUGAGGUGUCCAGCCCAGGACCUCCCAUGAGCCAAGCCAGCAUUCUACCACUGGACUCUCAUCAUGAUGCGUCUUAAGUGAUGAGUCCUUCGCCUGGCUUCUCCUCCCUCCACAAUCCUCUCCCUUUCCGACCACACUGAGCUACUUCAGAAUGUCUCUCAAAGGAAUUUCAAGGAGCCAGUUGGGUCUCUGUGGAGUACAUCGUACUAUCUCAUUACGAGCUCGCCUGGUGACAGGGUUCCGUUAGCUGACUCCCUUUAUUAGCAGCCAAAGACAAACUUAUGAAAUACCUUUAAACCUGGAUUUCCUUAACAAUCUAUCAUUGGGGAACUGACAGCUUUCGCUCGCUUCCCUGUGCCAGAAAGAAUUAAGAUUGUUCCUAAUUUAAUCGCUCUUCCGCAUCUGAGGCGGAUAUUUGUGUUUCAGAGCAAACUCGCGCUCAAGGCUCUGGGGACAGAGGCUUCGGGUUUUCGAAGAGCUCUUCCUAUAGUGCCCCAUGUGCUUCCCUGCAGACAGGGCUGGCCAUGACUGCCAGGAGUCUAGACAGAGGCCCGGACGCUGCCACUGAUGGGGGGUCACAGCCCAGCAGCCCCGCUGAGGCGGACGUUAUAGGGGUUUCUCUGCUCGUAUCCUCCUGAGGAAAAGAGUUCAGUCAAGAAUUGUGAGUUGGAGCAGCAGUUCAUUUAGCGACUCCCAGCAAAGCAAACACUCUUAAGAGAGAUUGGGACAUGCUGCCCCAAGGCGGGGAGCAGCCAGGUGGGUUCUGCAUAGUGGAUUUUAAAGUUUAUGAGCGUCCAUGUGAUGUAUACAUAUUUGCGAGGCGAAGUGACCCUUUGACCCCCCAGACCAUGGUGAACUGAAUCGAGAGUCCUUUUUUUUCUUUUCUCCUUUGAUCCUCUAGAAAAUGGCACAAAAAUGUAUGUAUGUGUGGAAGGAGUUAUGAAACUACAAUGCAAAUAUGCUAUAGUCUUCUUAAGUCUUCUGAGCAUGCGGAUCCUUUGCUUGAAUGUGGGAGAAUGCUGUGGUCCCUGAUAGAGUAGGAACAACCUAAAUGGCACUUCCGGGAUGUUUAAAGCCUCAACGGGACAGUUAGGGCACGCGGCUACCAAGACAAAGUGCAGCUUUCUGUGGUCCCUUUUAACUCCUUGCCUACUGGGUAGCACCGAGAAGGCACAUGUAUGGAGGACUGUCUUUGGGGUGCCUGUGAAAGGAUCUUAGGGGUGAUGGCAUUUGGCUCUUUGUUCCUCUAGAUUUCUACAGGUUAGAAUCUCCAGGUUGGCUCUUGAUGGAGUCGGCUGGCUGUGCCUGGUGAGUGACAGCCGGAUGCUGCUGGUGCGGAGCUGGACUAUCCCAGGCUGAGUCCGCUGGCUAGAUGCUGUACUAUCCCUAGCCUGCCCAAGUCCAUUUUCUCCAAGCCAACAGUUCAUGUCUGACGGAGAAGGAGGUUACAGAAGACCAGCCCGAUGUCUGGAGCGUGGCUGGCUUUGUAGUGUCACUCCUGCUCAUUAGCUUUCAAAGCCACUCUCCACCCCAGACCACAUCCUUAAUGUCAUCUUGCAGCCCAAGAGUACUUCCCCUGUGACACUUUCCCAAGAGUCAGUUACUUGGGCAUGUUUGUAGCCAGGCUGUCCACGCAUGGCUUUGCCCUGGACAAUGGAGGCUGGUGAGACCCUACAAUCAGGCCCUGAGCAUAGCUAGGCCUCCUGACCAUGUCCUGAACCUCCUUCUUACUAGAAAGCUCGGCUGAGAGUGCCUGCCUGGCAGUGGCUGCCUGGGGGCCCCUUCACCCUGGAAACACUUGAUCCACUCUUAGAGACUGCUCUGGGACAUGACCUCUUGGAGCCACCAGGCCACAGCCGACCCUGUGGAGACUUACAAGGCGAGCCCCGCCAAGCACAUCACAACCCCUCAGGUCAUCCGCACUGAGCUCGGGUGGCUGACAGAGAAGUCAGAGGAGCUGUGUUGGAAAAUCCUAUUAUCUGGCCGACCCCCAUUGAUAGCCCAUGCAUGAAACCAAUUUACAACAAGCAAGUCAAAAGCCUCUGAGGACCGCCUGCUCUCCCAGGAACCCAGCAAUCACCCUGCCCACGGGCCUCUGCAGUCCAAUACCGUUGGGUUCGCAUCUGUGGAGCGGCUCCACUAGCGCUCUGGAGCUGUCACUCAGUGCCCUGGGCUGACCGUCCUGUGCGUCGGUGAAUGCGGGGAGAAUUUAUUACAGCGGAGGAGAGAAACACUCAGAAUCCAGCAUGAUUAUUUUCAGAUCUCUGUUUUGCUGAUGGCUCGAGCCAGCGCAGAAGAGAUGCCUUGGAGUGUUGGAGUUUUCUGAAGGUCACGGUGUCUGCCUGUCUUCUGUCACUGUGUGAAGGCAAUGACAGGGAGGCUUGGACCACACUUGGACUUGGGGGCAAGGUCUUUAACCUUUCCAAGCUUUGGCUUCCGUCUCCAUGGAAGGGAAAUGCUUCUGGGGAGCUGGCGUGAGGAUUGGAUGGGAUGGCGCCUGCCAAGCGCUUAGCACGUAGUAGGCAAUCGCUAAGUGUUUAUUCUUGUUCCUUUUAACCCCAGCACUGUUUCUAAGGGCCCAGGAAAGGAUAUUCUAUUGGAUUUCUUUGUAGAAUGUUCUGGUGUGUUUUAUCUGUACAAUAGCAAGGAAAUCCUUUCAUCUAUCCGUACUGUUCCUUGCUGGGAAAGCACUCAUUAAUUCCCUUGGUCUCAAAAAGCCACACUGAGGGAGUACUGACUGGGUGUCAGGCACCAAGUAUUUUGUAUACAGCACAGGAUUUAAGCCUCGCCACGACCCUGAUGCUGAGGUCAGCUACCCUAGUGUUACAGACGAAGGGACCGAGGGACAGAAAUGACGCAGCCGCAUAGUUGGUAAGUAGAAACAGGAUGAGAAGAUGUGAAAAACGAUAACCCAGGAAUCCUGGGAAGAUGCUUCUUCCAAAUCCAGAACGCCGACUCCUGUGCUUUUUCUGCGGCCGUGGUGGGGACUCUGCUACACUUCGCCCUUUGGAGAAGUGGCUCCACUCUCCCUUCAUUCUCUCAUCUCCCAGGUGAGAUCUAAGCAGAAACUGGGCCAGCCCACUGGGGCCUUAGCAUCUUCUUGUGCAUCCUGGUGGGCCCUGAGAAAGCCUCCAGUUGGGAACAGGGCAAGGCCCAGGCCUGUCUCACCUCCUGCCCCAACCCCAGCCCCCAAACUGAGGCUCUGUCCAUCAGGCAGCCUUGACUAAACAGUCAAGACCAUUGCCAAGGUUCUCAGACUCCUUCUUAGUGGAGGGUGACGAUCCAGGCAGCUACAAUGGCAUUUUUGUAACCUUCAGUGACAGGGCUGGUCUCUUCCAGGGGUGAUGAGAGUGGCUUCUAGGAGUAAGUGAGACAGAUUCUAGGGGCCAUCCAGAGGAACACAGCAGAGGCACGGAGAGGCUCAAGGCCAAAGCCGACAGCUGCAAGCACCAGGAGGACCUCAUUGCCUCAUCUGUGACAUGGGGUGUGGAGAGGGUUCACACAAAAUGCACAAUCUGAAAUAAGACGUUUCUCCCGACUCAACCGCACUGAAGACUGGAUGCUGCCAUUGCUUCGCUGUGUGGCUAAAGAUGCCACAAGUCCCUCAAAAUCACCGCAGCACCCACCCCUCCCGAGUCUGACUACCCUUUGCUUCCCAGUUUGGUUCACGGAACCAUGGGAAGCAAAAGGACAGCAGAAGGGGAGGGGGGGCUGGCAACUUAGGGCAGAUCAGAGUGUAGAUACUAACCUGGCCUUAGGGCUAGGAAGCUUGCUGGCCCUAGGUAAGUGGACAAAUCCGGGGCUCAUUGGAAACCCUGCACCCAGCUGAUUAGGUACCUGAAUCACUGCCGGUCUCCCAGGGGGCACUGGACCCCUCACAGCAUCCUCUGGACACUACCUAGCACAUUCUCCUCAUCCUCAGAAGUACUCAGUAGAAUGUCAGCAGUCUUCUCUCACUCUCCUUGCCCUACCUGUCCGAAGAAGAGCAGGAGCGGAACACCUCUGACAACACAGGAAGGAGCCCAGAUCCGCUCACUCAAGGGACCACUGGUCUUGCUUUAGAAUCCUGAGAACCAGCACCAGGUCUGAAAAAACAUUCCUUUCCACAGAGGACGAGAUCACAGCACCAGUGAGAAACAGAUGCUCUUGAAGGGGUCCCACAUCUGUUUCUAGAGUAGGACUUGACCAUGUGUGGUGUCCAAAGCCCAGGUGAGCUCCAUGGAGUGUCAGCGCUGAGGAGACAUUGGUCCAGGAGAGCAUUGGUGCACCUGUGGGCAGCCUGCGUAGGCUGAGGGAGAGCAUCUUUGUGACCAGAUGGGGUCUCAUAAGCUCCUUGCCAGGUGCUCUGCCUCUUUGAUGCCUACCUUUGGCAUGACCCUUUUACCCUCAUAGCAGACCAGCACGGCGUGUUCUGCUGACAACGUGUUUUCACCAUGGCAGGUAUCGGGCCUGUCAGAAGAAGAGGUAAAGGCCUGGUAAGCUUCCAGGGGACUCAGAGAGUCAUCCAAGCCAGCCAACAUGUGAUGUGCCUUGAAAGGAAUCUCCCAGCCAGACGGACAAGAAGCUACCUGUAUGUGUGGACAGUGCUGAAGACAGACAAAGGCCUCUGUUAGAGGGCAUCUGGAGAUCUUCCCACCUCUGGGACUUGACUUUGAGACAGAAGAAUAGCAGAGAACACAGAAGCUUCCAGACUGGAGUUUGGAGACGGAGUUUAAAACCCAUAGUUCAGUGAGAGAUACACUGCUGAAGCCCUGUGGAGCUCACGUGGGCUUUCGACACCACACAUGGUCAAGCCCUGCUCCAGAUUUUCCCAUUGGCUUAUUCUCAGCCUGGAAGCUGAGGUCAUUGUUGCUAUUACAUUUAUUUUAUAUCAUUAUUAUUCCCAAACUGGUCUCAAACUCACUCUUAAUCCUCCUAUCCUAGUGUCCCAAGUGUGAGGACUAUCUGUGUGCUCCGCCAUGCCUGACUCUCUGAGACGUUUCAAAACGUCCUGGGUGACAUGCGGGCAAAGCCACGGCUGAAAACCACCAGAAUGGGUACACAGAUGUGAUGGCCCCAGAUCUGCAUUCUGGCUUUAUAACCAGUCAGAUCAUCUGCCUCACUUCUAACGUUGUCUUUAGCUUCCUCAAAUAGUUUAACAAGCCUUAAUUCGAAAGUAAAUAUCAUAAGAUUGUUUCAGAGGACACGGAGAAACUAAGCAAAGAAGGAAAGGUGUUUCGAAAAAGUAAUUGUACAAUAAUUGAGUAUAGAAUUAAUUACACCGAAGGACAGUCGGUGGAGCGCCGAUGUCACGGUGGGUGAAAGGGCACUUGAUCAAUGAUCUAAAGCAAAUUACCACUCUAUAUUCGUGUAGCACUGGGAAGCCACAGGUUUUCUGCUUUGAGCAAUUACAGAUUGAUAGUACAUUACCAAAACAGAACAGACAGGUCCCUUGUACCCUUCACCCAGAGUAAUGGAAACAUUUCAUAUAAUUAUAUACAAUAUCAAAACUAGGACGUUAACGUUGGCACGACAGUCCUCCACAGCCCUUCCGGAAAUCAGACACUUCGUUAACAUCAGUCCCUUGGUUUCUCCUUCACUCAAAGUAACUUGCAGUGAGCCGCCAGCGCUGUGUUUAUUCCACAGUGGGCCACAGCCCCUCUGUGUCAGAGUCAGCCAGAAGAUGCAUUCAAAGUAUUAUGCCUUUUAUGUUGUUUCCCAGGCAUGGUGACUCAGACCUGUAACCCCGACACUGGGGAGGCUGAGGCAGGAGGAUCUAGAAUUCCAGGCCAGCAUAGGUUAUAGUGAGUUCAAGGCCACCUUAGGCUAUAGAGAAAAACUGUGACUUAAACAAACUAAACUAAACAACAAACAAACAGCAGCCGGCUAUGGGGCCCAUGCCUGCAAGCCCAGCACCCAGGAAGCAGAGGAAGGAGGAUUGCAAGUUCAAGGCCAACCUGGUCUAUAUAGUGUGAGACUGUUCCUCAAAACCAAACCAACAGCUCUCCCUCUCCAACAAAAAUUCCAGAACACUUGUCCUAGACAGGCCUCAGGAGGCUGAGCUUGGGAACUGAAGAGUCAGCAUCCUAGACAAAUUUUCCAGAUCAUUCCUGUAUUUGCAGAAGUCAGAGAGCCACUAGAUAUUCCUUUUGUAGGCUCUGCGCUCAGCAUGUGACGUGCAACGUCAGGGAGACUGGUGACUGUUCUCCUAGAGUGGAGAAAAUGACACUGACCGUGAAGACAGGGAGUGGGAUCCAGUCACAAACAAAUGCUGUAAGAUCCCACGGGAGCGUGUAAUCUGGGUGAAUGGGAGGAGUUUGGGAGUCUUGGGUUAUUUCAGUUGAGCUUCGACUUUAGAGUAAGCCUUUGAUAGUAGGACAAGGGAAGGCAUCUCAGCCAUUGCUUUAGCACACUGCCUCCCCUCUUACAACAAGAAUUUCUGAAAUUUUACUAAUGGUGGGAAGUGUAGCUUACCUAUGUGUCCUCAAUGCCUGUAAACCAAAGGUGUUCAAUAAAUGUUU
rnacentral:sRNA from 1 species